rnacentral:rRNA from 1 species
CCUACGGGAGGCAGCAGUGAGGAAUAUUGGUCAAUGGACGGAAGUCUGAACCAGCCAUGCCGCGUGCAGGAAGACGGCUCUAUGAGUUGUAAACUGCUUUUGUACAAGGGUAAACCUGAAUACGUGUAUUCAGCUGAAAGUACUGUACGAAUAAGGAUCGGCUAACUCCGUGCCAGCAGCCGCGGUAAUACGGAGGAUCCAAGCGUUAUCCGGAUUUAUUGGGUUUAAAGGGUGCGUAGGCGGAUUGUUAAGUUAGUGGUGAAAUUUCCGAGCUUAACUCGGGAACUGCCACUAAUACUGUUGAUCUAGAGAGUAGAUGCGGUAGGCGGAAUGUAUGGUGUAGCGGUGAAAUGCUUAGAGAUCAUACAGAACACCGAUUGCGAAGGCAGCUUACCAAUCUAUAUCUGACGUUGAGGCACGAAAGCGUGGGGAGCAAACAGGAUUAGAUACCCCAGUAGUC